rnacentral:rRNA from 1 species
CCGCCCGUCACACCAUGGAAGUGUAUUGCACCAGAAGCAGGUAGCCUGACCGCAAGGAGGGCGCCUACCACGGUGCGGUCCAUGACUGGGGUG